AUCACUUCUCAGCCUUUGGCUGAAGAUUAAGUGUUCUAUCUGUUCUAAUUAGUUUAAUAACUGAUACUUCCUCUAUCCAAGGACAAUGUUUGGAUUUUUGGAACAGAGAGAUGGAAUAGGAGCUUGCUCUGUCCACUCCACGUAUCAACGGGCAUCAACCUGGUAUUUCAAUACCUCCAGGGAUGGUACACCCAGG
rnacentral:snRNA from 1 species